rnacentral:rRNA from 1 species
UACGUAGGGUGCAAGCGUUGUCCGGAAUUAUUGGGCGUAAAAGAGCUCGUAGGCGGUUUUGUUGCGUCGGCUGUGAAAUCCCCGAGGCUCAACCUCGGGUCUGCAGUCGAUACGAGCAAACUAGAGUGUUGCAGGGGAGACUGGAAUUCCUGGUGUAGCGGUGAAAUGCGCAGAUAUCAGGAGGAACACCGGUGGCGAAGGCGGGUCUCUGGGCAACAACUGACGCUGAGGAGCGAAAGCGUGGGGGAGCGAACAGG